GGGCUCACUUCGGCUGGGCAGCACAUGUACUAAAACUAGAACAAUGCAGAGAAGAUCAGAAUGGCCCCUGCACAAGGACGACAUGCGAAUUUGCUAAGUGCUCCAUAUUUUU